UACCAGCACCCCGAGUGGUCGGGACGUUUAUUGGGCCUAAAGCAUCCGUAGCCGGUUCUUCAAGUCUUCCGUUAAAUCCACCUGCUUAACAGAUGGGCUGCGGAAGAUACUAUAGAGCUAGGAGGCGGGAGAGGCAAGCGGUACUCGAUGGGUAGGGGUAAAAUCCGUUGAUCCAUUGAAGACCACCAGUGGCGAAGGCGGCUUGCCAGAACGCGCUCGACGGUGAGGGAUGAAAGCUGGGGGAGCAAACCGG
rnacentral:rRNA from 1 species